rnacentral:rRNA from 1 species
GACGAACGCUGGCGGCGUGCUUAACACGUGCAAGUCAAACGGAAAGGCCCUGCUUUUGUGGGGUGCUCGAGUGGCGAACGGGUGAGUAACACGUGAGUAACCUGCCCUUGACUUUGGGAUAACUUCAGGAAACUGGGGCUAAUACCGGAUAGGAGCUCAUGCUGCAUGGUGGGGGUUGGAAAGUUUCGGCGGUUGGGGAUGGACUCGCGGCUUAUCAGCUUGUUGGUGGGGUAGUGGCUUACCAAGGCUUUGACGGGUAGCCGGCCUGAGAGGGUGACCGGCCACAUUGGGACUGAGAUACGGCCCAGACUCCUACGGGAGGCAGCAGUGGGGAAUAUUGCACAAUGGGCGGAAGCCUGAUGCAGCAACGCCGCGUGCGGGAUGACGGCCUUCGGGUUGUAAACCGCUUUCGCCUGUGACGAAGCGUGAGUGACGGUAAUGGGUAAAGAAGCACCGGCUAACUACGUG